GCGGAUAUAGUUUAGUGGUAAAACCUCAGCUUCCCAAGCUGAUGAUGGGGGUUCGAUUCCCCCUAUCCGCU
rnacentral:tRNA from 1 species